CAUAUGUGCGUGUGCUCCUGGGCAUGAGGUCCUCCUUUAGCAUCACCUUCCAGUUGGGACCUGCAGGGGCUCCUCUUCAUGUCCACCUGAGCAGGAGCUGGAACCCUGGGUUUGACCCACACGACCACCUGCAAAGCUUUGAGCCACGGGGUGCUUCCAGCCUGAGGAUACACUGAGGCGCACUGAGGAAGGAUCCACAGCCUGUCGUACAUUUGUGAUCUAUAUCCACUUAAUUAAAGGCUCAUUCAUGGCCUGGGUGCACACAGCCCUGCUGGGAUGUGAGCUGUCCUCCGUGUCAAAGGGCUCAGUGUUUUUCCAGGAUUUGAGGUAAUAACCAGAAGGUCAGUGGAGGAACGGGCUGUAAAGCCGCCGUUGGGAUCGUUUGGGAACCUCAGCAGCUUCUCCUGCCGUAAACAGCCAGAGACAAACAGCCUCCGCUGCCCAGAACCCACUCCUGGGAAUUCUUCUUUUUUAGGGCAUGUUUCCAUUUCCAUCCCUUGACCUUUCUCUGGUGCUCGCAGCAGCGCCUCGGCCCUGGGCAAGGCUCCCAGCACUGCCGCAGUUCAAGCAUCCAAUAGCGGGAGAAAGAAAUUCCCUCUGCAGGGGUGAGGGAGGCUGAGCUGCAGCUCCCGGCUUUGUAUAAAUCAGGGCGGUUUGAGAAGGGCCGGACGGGGCCGUUCAGUGGGGGCACGUCGGG
ensembl:lncRNA